rnacentral:misc_RNA from 1 species
GGUGUCAGUUCAUAGAAGGUCGUGGUUCCGGCCUUCUUCAUCGCCGCGAUGGCAUCGUCGUUUUCCUUCUGCGAGAUGUCGUUCGCGAAUUCGGUCGCCUCCGCCAUCGCCUUCUCGACCUGCGGCUUUACGUCGGCAGGAAGGCCAUCCCAGACCUUCUUGUUCACGAUCCCCGUGUAGCCGAUGUAGCCGUGGUUGGAGAGCG